rnacentral:other from 1 species
CGUCCCCUGCGGUGUUUGUUAAGACCAUAUAUUCCUUGAACCAAUGCUAAUUGGCAUCGGUUGCGGACCAUACCGCUGCUGUUGUGAGUGCCUCUCUGUCAGGCGUUCCUGAUGCAGCUGGAAAGCGACCAUUCUGGACCCCGGUUCAGGAUGCCGGUCUGACGGCACUUGCGGGGGCCUU